rnacentral:rRNA from 1 species
AUUAUUGGCGAACGGGUGAGUAACACGUGGGCAAUCUGCCCUGCACUCUGGGACAAGCCCUGGAAACGGGGUCUAAUACCGGAUACUGACCCGCUUGGGCAUCCAAGCGGUUCGAAAGCUCCGGCGGUGCAGGAUGAGCCCGCGGCCUAUCAGCUUGUUGGUGAGGUAAUGGCUCACCAAGGCGACGACGGGUAGCCGGCCUGAGAGGGCGACCGGCCACACUGGGACUGAGACACGGCCCAGACUCCUACGGGAGGCAGCAGUGGGGAAUAUUGCACAAUGGGCGAAAGCCUGAUGCAGCGACGCCGCGUGAGGGAUGACGGCCUUCGGGUUGUAAACCUCUUUCAGCAGGGAAGAAGCGAAAGUGACGGUACCUGCAGAAGAAGCGCCGGCUAACUACGUGCCAGCAGCCGCGGUAAUACGUAGGGCGCGAGCGUUGUCCGGAAUUAUUGGGCGUAAAGAGCUCGUAGGCGGCUUGUCACGUCGGUUGUGAAAGCCCGGGGCUUAACCCCGGGUCUGCAGUCGAUACGGGCAGGCUAGAGUUCGGUAGGGGAGAUCGGAAUUCCUGGUGUACCGGUGAAAUGCGCAGAUAUCAGGAGGAACACCGGUGGCGAAGGCGGAUCUCUGGGCCGAUACUGAC